AUCUCAGGCACCGGCGACCUGAUUGUGCGACGGCUGAGUGCACAGGGUCGCACACGGUACACGUGCAGGGUGACCAGCACGCGGUUCUCUGCCCUCAGUGACACUGUAUUAACUGAAAUGGUGACUAUGUAAUGCCCAUCGAAUCGCACUUGAAGAUGACGCUGAAGACCCGCUUCGAAGCUGACCUCUCUGAAUUACUCCCGUGUAUUAUGACUGAUGAUGUACCUUCUUCAUAACUUUAUCAGAUUAGUUGUGUGACUGAAUUUGCUCUGGAAAUCCAAGGCUCUUAGAGAGAAAGCAUUAGAGGAACACUUAGAUUAACUUUUCCUUUAUUUCCCACUGUAAUUAGCAGGAGGAAAUCAGGUAAUGUCUUUCUCUCUCAGGAAGAUUAAUGUUUAUAUAUUGAUAGCAGCUGCUACGCAUAUGACAUUUACAUCGUGACACGUGUACUGUAGUAUUAUUUUGCAGAUACAAGUUCCUUUUUUUCCUAUUUAUAUCACAAUCGCGCAGAUGAAUUGUAAUGAGCUUGGUAGCUAACAAUAAUAUUGAGUUUGUUACUUAGUUACAUUAUAACAUCAAAUAAAAUUGUAAAGUUGAAU